rnacentral:rRNA from 1 species
GACGAACGCUGGCGGCGUGCUUAACACAUGCAAGUCGAACGAUGAAGCCGGAGCUUGCUCUGGUGAAUUAGUGGCGAACGGGUGAGUAACACGUGAGUAACCUGCCCUUGACUCUGGGAUAACUGCGGGAAACUGUAGCUAAUACCGGAUACGACCCUCGGAGGCAUCUCCUGGGGGUGGAAAGAAUUUCGGUCAAGGAUGGACUCGCGGCCUAUCAGCUAGUUGGUGAGGUAAAGGCUCACCAAGGCGACGACGUGUAGCCGGCCUGAGAGGGUGACCGGCCACACUGGGACUGAGACACGGACCAGACUCCCACGGGAGGCAGCAGUGGGGAAUAUUGCCCAAUGGGCGCAAGCCUGAUGCAGCAGCGCCGCGUGAGGGAUGACGGCCUUCGGGUUGUAAACCUCUUUUAGCAGGGAAGAAGCGAAAGUGACGGUACCUGCAGAAAAAGCACCGGCUAACUACGUGCCAGCCGCCGCGGUAA